GCCAGUAUGGUGUAGUGGUUUUAAUGUUGGGAUAAGACUCCAAGAGACCAGAGUUCAAAUCUCUGCUCAGCCU